rnacentral:rRNA from 1 species
GCAGCGAGACAGUGAUNUGGAGCGAAUCUCAAAAAAUUAGUCCCAGUUCGGAUUGCAGGCUGCAACUCGCCUGCAUGAAGUCGGAAUUGCUAGUAAUCGUAGGUCAGCAUACUACGGUGAAUACGUUCCCGGGCCUUGUACACACCGCCCGUCAAACCAUGAGAGUUGGCAACACCCGAAGUCGGUAGUCUAACCGCAAGGAGGACGCCGCCGAAGGUGGGGUUGAUGAUUAGGGUUAAGUCGUAACAAGGUAAC